GUUAGAGAAGAGAAUUAAAAAGAUGGCUGAAAGACUUUUUCUCGAGUGAUGGAAACACGACAAAGCUGGAAACUGGAAAGGAGGUUGUGCUUAGUGGUAGUGUGCAGUGGUGGCGUGGUAUUUGUCAUGGCAAGAGCGGGUGCAGGUUGGAUAGGCUGUCUUGAUUUUGUUUUUGGAAUUCGAAGUUCAGACUACAUAGAUAGGACUAUGGUUUCACUUUAUUGCUUAGUUCGAAUUCUCUCCUUUUAUGUUUGAUUUAACAUUUUCAUUCAGAAUUGGUUACCUUUUUAUG